UCUGCAUAUAUACACAUGGUAUUAUCGACAACAAAUAUAAUAACAAAAAAGUGUAUUGUAUCAUACAACAGUGAAACAAACGAAUUGGAGAUAAUAAAAAACAAGAGCACAUAUGGGAUAAGUAUUGACAAUUUAAAAGCUCAAGAGUUACCUACUAAAAAAAAAGACACGGGAAUUAUCAGAUUAGUUAUUUCAAAAGAUCAAACAAAAGAAUUACUCAUCGAGUCUACUGAUUUAAAAGCCUUACAACGUUUAGGAAAUGGGCUUAUAUGGAUACACGACGAAAAAAGUUUUAUAGAGAAACAUCCUGAAUAUAAAUCCAAAAAUAAAAAAACGGU